UCCGGAGGAGGCAAUCGUUAUCCGGAAUUAUUGGGCGUAAAGCGUCCGUAGGUGGUUGGCCAAGUCUGCUGUCAAAGGGUGGAGCUUAACCUCAUAAAGGCAGUGGAAACUGGCGAGCUAGAGUGCGGUAGGGGUAGGGGGAAUUCCCAGUGUAGCGGUGAAAUGCGUAGAGAUUGGGAAGAACAUCGGUGGCGAAAGCGCCCUGCUGGGCCUGCACUGACACUGAGGGACGAAAGCUAGGGGAGCGAAAGGG
rnacentral:rRNA from 1 species